UGCGUAGGCGGACUAAUAAGUCAGUGGUGAAAUCUUUCGGCUCAACCGAGAAACUGCCAUUGAUACUGUUAGUCUUGAGUUCGGUUGAGGUAGGCGAAAUGUGUAAUGUAGCGGUGAAAUGCUUAGAUAUUACACAGAACACCAAUUGCGUAGGCAGCUUACUAGACCGACACUGACGCUGAGGCACGAAAGCGUGGGGAGCGAACAGGAUUAGAUACCCUGGUAGUCC
rnacentral:rRNA from 1 species